UACGUAGGGUGCGAGCGUUAAUCGGAAUUACUGGGCGUAAAGCGUGCGCAGGCGGUUUUGUAAGACAGGCGUGAAAUCCCCGGGCUCAACCUGGGAAUGGCGCUUGUGACUGCAAAGCUGGAGUGCGGCAGAGGGGGAUGGAAUCCGCGGUGUAGCAGUGAAAUGCGUAGAUAAUGCGGAGGAACACCGAUGGCGAAGGCAAUCCCCUGGGCCUGCACUGACGC
rnacentral:rRNA from 1 species